UUCUUCCCGCAAAAAUUUUCCGCCAAUUUUUCAUUUCCCACAUUUUUUUUUUUGUUUUUCCCUUCUUUCUUUUCAAUUCCCACUUCUCUCUCCCCUCACGCCGCCACCUCUAGCCACCUAUCUGCUCUCUCUCCCACACGCCGGAGUCACAAUCCCUAAUCACAAACCCUAAUUUCUUCUCUGAAUUUUUGUGUUUCUUUGUUUUCUCCCACUUUCUCGUCGAUUUUCACCGCAUUUCUUUGAUUUUCCUUUUGCACAUUUCUCAGAAAACUCAAAAAUCGAAGGUCUCCUCUCAUCUCGACUCCAACACCGCUGAUUCCACUAGUUUGAUUACAGGCAAAAAUGGGCUUGGGGAGGGUAUCGUUGUCACUCUUUGGGGUAAGCCUUGGGUCAAUGCUGAACUUCCUAUGUCCCGAGCCACUGGUGAUGUGUACCAAAAGAGACUGUCAAGUACUUCAACAAUGAAGCUUUUGAAGCUGAUCAAUAUGAUGAGUACUUAAAAGAGUAAGUUAUCUUAGUGGUAUGGUAGGUUAUUACAUUGACGCGUAAUUAUCAAUUCAGGUGUAUUGGUUUUAAAGGGUUAUAGCCCACCUGGUUCUAGGAUAGUUAGGAAUCAAGAGGCUUAGUUGCUCUGCUGCCUCAUGGAGAAAACCUUUAUUCCUUCUUUAUUGGCUGUAUAAUGCAGUAAAUAAUUUGGGCAACCUUCAAUCUGAUGGGCAAUUACCUAACUUGUAGGUUGUCUUUUGUGUGCACAAUGCCAGCUAAUUGGGUGGGCUGGGUUUGGGUUUCCAAAGUGGGAACCUGUGUUUUUGAUGGUUUAGAACAAAGUUUGCUCCUGUGAGUUCAGGUUUAAGAAGGGGCUUCCCAUCUCAAUCCUGGUCUGUUGCCACUCCUACCCUAAUUGGGACUUGGAGAUCACUUCUCCUUCAUGCUUCUAAUGGUUUGAAAUGAUGAUUUUAUGUGGCCAACCACCAAAUCAAUUUUAAUAUGGUUCGGGUGGUUUUGGAUUUUCUUUAUUAUUUAUGUUCUUUUUAAUCUCUUGCCUUCUCAGUCCCCCCCCCCCUCUUACUUCCUGAUAGUAUGGCAAAAGUGCAAGUUAUAUCCUUUCAUUUAAGUAUUUUCAUUACAAUUUUACUCUAAUUGAAUCUUAAUGCUGUUCUGUAGCUGUUGGUGAUUCAUUUGCUCAGGGUAUGAAGAUGCUGCUUUAAAAACACAACGUAGCCUUGCAUAUUUGAUCUUCAGCCAAAAUAUAAUAUUUAGCAAGUGCAUGAUUAAUUUUUUCAUAGGAGAUCAAGAUUCAUUUCUUCAUAUGGACUUCAUUGUAUGACAAUUUUUCAAUCAAACACCUCAACCAUUUAACAAGUGCAUGAUUAAUUAGUUUGUCUAUUUCCUUGCAGUUCUUAAUGCAAGGGAAAGUUGGUAGCUAUGCAUCAUUCUUUGAGAAGUACCACGAGAAGGCAGAAUCCUUUUUUUUGAGACCCUUUAAGAUCUUGUCAUAAUUUUAGUUGCUUAAGUUUAAAACAAUAUUUUUAUGUCAUGGUUUAAUUUCAGGAUUUCUUUGUAUAUUCUAUAUUUUAAAGUUUGAACUUAUAAGAAUUUUUAUGUUUCGAUGGAUUAA